rnacentral:rRNA from 1 species
GACGAACGCUGGCGGCGUGCUUGACACAUGCAAGUCGAACGGUAAGGCCCUUCGGGGUACACGAGUGGCGAACGGGUGAGUAACACGUGGGUGAUCUGCCCUGCACUUCGGGAUAAGCCUGGGAAACUGGGUCUAAUACCGGAUAGGACCACUGCCUGCAUGGGUGGUGGUGGAAAGCUUUUGCGGUGUGGGAUGGGCCCGCGGCCUAUCAGCUUGUUGGUGGGGGGAUGGCCUACCAAGGCGACGACGGGUAGCCGGCCUGGGAGGGUGACCGGCCACACUGGGACUGAGAUACUGCCCAGACUCCUACGGGGGGCAGCAGUGGGGAAUAUUGCACAAUGGGCGCAAGCCUGAUGCAGCGACGCCGCGUGAGGGAUGACGGCCUUCGGGUUGUAAACCUCUUUCAGCACCGACGAAGCGCAAGUGACGGUAGGUGCAGAAGAAGGACCGGCCAACUACGUGCCAGCAGCCGCAGUAA